rnacentral:tRNA from 1 species
GGCUGCUUGGUGUAGUCCUUCGCAGAAUUUGCGUGGCUGCAGUCCACCAUGAUGUUCAGCGGAAGGUGCGACUUCUUCAGCAGAUCC